AAGACCUUGCGCUUUUGGAGCGGCCGAUGCCUGAUUAGCUUGUUGGUAAGGUAAAGGCUUACCAAGGCUUCGAUCAGUAGCUGGUCUGAGAGGACGGCCAGCCACACUGGGACUGAGACACGGCCCAGACUCCUACGGGAGGCAGCAGUGGGGAAUUUUGGACAAUGGGGGAAACCCUGAUCCAGCCAUGCCGCGUGAGUGAAGAAGGCCUUCGGGUUGUAAAGCUCUUUCAGCCGGAACGAAACGGUUACGGAUAAUACCCGUGACUACUGACGGUACCGGAAGAAGAAGCACCGGCUAACUACGUGCCAGCAGCCGCGGUAAUACGUAGGGUGCGAGCGUUAAUCGGAAUUACUGGGCGUAAAACGUGCGCAGGUGGUUUUGUAAGUCAGAUGUGAAAGCCCCGGGCUCAACCUGGGAACU
rnacentral:rRNA from 1 species